rnacentral:rRNA from 1 species
GACGAACGCUGGCGGCGUGCUUAACACAUGCAAGUCGAACGGAAAGGCCCUGCUUUUGUGGGGUGCUCGAGUGGCGAACGGGUGAGUAACACGUGAGUAACCUGCCCUUGACUUGGGAUAACUUCAGGAAACUGGGGCUAAUACCGGAUAGGAGCUCCUGCUGCAUGGUGGGGGGUGGGAAGGUUCGGCGGUUGGGGAUGGCCUCGCGGCUUAUCAGCUUGUUGGUGGGGUAGUGGCUUACCAAGGCUUUGACGGGUAGCCGGCCUGAGAGGGUGACCGGCCACAUUGGGACUGAGAUACGGCCCAGACUCCUACGGGAGGCAGCAGUGGGGAAUAUUGCACAAUGGGCGGAAGCCUGAUGCAGCAACGCCGCGUGCGGGAUGACGGCCUUCGGGUUGUAAACCGCUUUCGCCUGUGACGAAGCGUGAGUGACGGUAAUGGGUAAAGAAGCACCGGCUAACUACGUG